AACGAACGCUGGCGGCAUGCCUAACACAUGCAAGUCGAACGAGACCUUCGGGUCUAGUGGCGCACGGGUGCGUAACGCGUGGGAACCUGCCCUUAGGUUCGGAAUAACUCCCCGAAAGGGGUGCUAAUACCGGAUAAUGUCUUCGGACCAAUGAUUUAUCGCCUUUGGAUGGGCCCGCGUUGGAUUAGCUAGUUGGUAGGGUAAAAGCCUACCAAGGCGACGAUCCAUAGCUGGUCUGAGAGGAUGAUCAGCCACACUGGGACUGAGACACGGCCCAGACUCCUACGGGAGGCAGCAGUGGGGAAUAUUGGACAAUGGGCGAAAGCCUGAUCCAGCAAUGCCGCGUGAGUGAUGAAGGCCUUAGGGUUGUAAAGCUCUUUUACCCGGGAUGAUAAUGACAGUACCGGGAGAAUAAGCUCCGGCUAACUCCGUG
rnacentral:rRNA from 1 species